GUGUGGGGACUACAGGCGUGAGCCACCGCACCUGGCCUAUCUCCAGUCUACCUGCAGUUUUUGUCUCUCAACGUGGAAUUGACCAUCUACCAUGUGAACACUACAAUGUCUACACUGCCAGUAUCCUCCAGGUCUUUGCCUCACUGUCUAGCUGUCACCAAUGCUUGGCAAGUCCUUAGUCCUGGAUGAACCCACUGUCUACUCUCCUUACUUCCUGACUCAGGUUGCUAAGUAGCUCUCAAGAAAAUCAUGUGACAUGCAGUUUGGUACCACUAUGAAUGCAUGGUCCCUGAAUGCAUGGUCCCGGCCUCAGAACGCCCUCAUUGCUUCCUGUCAAUCCUGCAACUUCCUGGGUCUGCCUUGUUCCAGUGCUGUCAACAAUUCAUUUAAAGAUCUUCCACUCCUGAACUCCUAAUGCCUUUACCUCCUUGUUCCCACUUCUCCCCAUCUCCAGAAAAUGAACUUGACUACUCUGCAGAAUAAAUAAAAGCCAUCAAGUAAAAACUUCAA